rnacentral:lncRNA from 1 species
ACCGAAUUAGCCGGAUCCUGAUUAGCGCGAUGAUAUCAUCUUGGAUGUGACAUUUCUUCUCGGAUAAAAUAAGCGACAUACGAAGAACGGGCCUCUGAUAUCGUGUGAUAUAACGUUAAUUAUGUUUUAUUUGUUAAUCUUUGUUGCCAUCAUGGAUUAUGGCUUGUUUUCUUUAAUUUAUGGCUCGAGACUGAAGAAAACACGACAACGUCACCGGAACACAGGAAAUACCAUCUUCUUAACCAGGUUUUUGAUCUAUAUGUCCAUACAUGACCUCUCGUAUAAAGGCCAGUGCUGUGAAGAUACGUUGGGACCAGAUCCAAAGCGUUUGAGAACCAGCAAGCAGCAGUCUUAAAAAACUGGAGACUGAGGCACCACCAGAGAGGAAGAGGGAGGGACCGCCGAUGUAGAGGUAUGAUGACGGACAGCUGGAGACUGAGGAGAAGAGAAAGACUGAG